rnacentral:rRNA from 1 species
GAUGAACGCUGGCGGCGUGCCUAAUACAUGCAAGUCGAGCGAACAGACGAGGAGCUUGCUCCUCUGACGUUAGCGGCGGACGGGUGAGUAACACGUGGAUAACCUACCUAUAAGACUGGGAUAACUUCGGGAAACCGGAGAUAAUACCGGAGAAUAUAUUGAACCGCAUGGUUCAAUAGUGAAAGACGGUUUUGCUGUCACUUAUAGAUGGAUCCGCGCCGCAUUAGCUAGUUGGUAAGGUAACGGCUUACCAAGGCAACGAUGCGUAGCCGACCUGAGAGGGUGAUCGGCCACACUGGAACUGAGACACGGUCCAGACUCCUACGGGAGGCAGCAGUAGGGAAUCUUCCGCAAUGGGCGAAAGCCUGACGGAGCAACGCCGCGUGAGUGAUGAAGGUCUUCGGAUCGUAAAGCUCUGUUAUUAGGGAAGAACAAAUGUGUAAGUAACUAUGCACGUCUUGACGGUACCUAAUCAGAAAGCCACGGCUAACUACGUG